ACACUCCUGCGGGAGGCAGCAGUGGGGAAUAUUGCACAAUGGGCGCAAGCCUGAUGCAGCCAUGCCGCGUGUGUGAAGAAGGCCUUCGGGUUGUAAAGCACUUUCAGCGGGGAGGAAGGCGAUACGGUUAAUAACCGUGUUGAUUGACGUUACCCGCAGAAGAAGCACCGGCUAACUCCGUGCCAGCAGCCGCGGUAAUACGGAGGGUGCAAGCGUUAAUCGGAAUUACUGGGCGUAAAGCGCACGCAGGCGGUCUGUCAAGUCGGAUGUGAAAUCCCCGGGCUCAACCUGGGAACUGCAUUCGAAACUGGCAGGCUUGAGUCUUGUAGGGGGGGGUAGAAUUCCAGGUGUAGCGGUGAAAUGCGUAGAGAUCUGGAGGAAUACCGGUGGCGAAGGCGGCCCCCUGGACAAAGACUGACGCUCAGGUGCGAAAGCGUGGGGAGCAAACAGGAUUAGAAACCCCAGUAGUCCC
rnacentral:rRNA from 1 species